UGAAUAUGGAGCAACUAAAUGUCUUAGAUUUAUUAGGUCAGCUGUCUCGCAGGGUAGUUGGCAUGAGUACCCAUAGUCAUUGACAAGAAGUGUCUGUAAAUUCUUGAGGUUGCCAAUGGAAGAGGGAAUAUCAUAGAUACCUCUCAAUCUUAAGAACUUGAGGUGGUACAAACUUCCUAUGGCAUCAGGUACUAUAGGCAUAUUCCCAACAUGCAUAUCCAAGUGCAACACAUAUAAAUGUUGGAACAUAAUUGACCUCAACUUACGAAAAUCUGGAUCGAAGACCAUAAUUGACCUCAACUUUAAGUUAGAAAGAUCAAGAGAGGGGUACCUUUCUCCUUGACUAUGAAUGACAUGUCUGAUACAUAAAGAGGAUAUGGAGUGGCUUUUUGGAUCAUAAAUGUCAAAAAAGUUUACCUCCAAUGCCUUUUGUAUCACAAGAUCAUGGAGUAAAUCAUGCACCCUACAUUCAGUAACCCUUUCCCAAAAUGUAUUAGCCACUUGAACCAAGCUUCGUCUUAUCAGCUCAUUCAAGAAGCCUUCAGCGACAUCCUCCAUUCUUUCUUCUCCUCUAGGUAUGAAACCCUCGGCCAUCCACAACCAUGUUAUGUUAUCAGC